rnacentral:tRNA from 1 species
CAAGAUAAAGUUUAUUAGUCAAACACCUCUCUUACACAGAAAAAAAAUUUGUGCAACUCAAAUUAUCCUGA